rnacentral:lncRNA from 1 species
UGCACGCAGCAGGAGGAGUUGGAGGUGGGGCUGGGAUUUGAACCCAGGCGGUCUGGCUCCAGUCCUCACCCUUAGCCUCUACUCCACACUGCCUCCCUAAGACACUCUGGUUGGUCUCUGCCUCCACCAUUCAUUUCUCCAUUCAAUUGUGUUUCAAGCACUACUGUGAGCCCAGAUAUACUGCAGUUCUUGGAGACAUGGAGCAACUAGCUUGAAGAAACAAUUAUAAAAUAUGGGGAAGAAGAGAGUGGCUACACACACCAGCAGCUCAGAAAAGGGUCUCUGAGUCAGCUUCCUGAAGGAGUUAACACCUGAGCUUAUCCCUAAAGGUCCAUCUGGUGGAAUGGAGACAGGGAAGGGAUUUCAGAGAUGAGCAAAGGACAGAGAUGAUCAACAGCGUAUUUGGGAAGAGAGGCCCAGUAGAGAUACUGGGAAGACCAAGAUGAGCACUCCAGGGGUGACAGAUGAGGCUGAAGAGGCGGGCAAAGGCAAGGGGAGGGGGCCUGUGGGCUACACCCAGUGGCCUGGACUUUCUUCUAAGAAGGGAGUGACCUAGGUGGAGCUGUGAAUUUGGACAACCUCUCUGUGGGUGGUGGGUUGGAAGGGUCUGGCCUGGAGGCUGGGAGACCUGUUACGAGGCCAUUGCUAUGGGCCUGGUGAGAGAUGAGGGCCUGGGGACGAGGGACUCGGUUGGAUGCAGAAGAUAACUGAGCAGAUGGAGUGGGGCAAUGCUGGCAUGGAUGACUGGAUGGUGGAGCUGCCAGAAGGGGAGAGUGAAGACUUGUGCUUCUAGGUGAUAUCUUUAAAAGGAAUGGGCAUGUACUCCUUUCAACCCUUUCCUCUCCCCUCCUGCUGGAAUGCAGAUGUGAUGGCAGGAGUGGGAGUAGCCACCUUGAACUCAGAGACUGAAGUCAAGUUUAAGGGAUGGCAGAGCUGCACUGUAGCCUGGAAGUACCAAGCUCUGGGCCAUUGUGUGUGGAAGAACUCAAGUUCUUACUGGUUUAAGCCAUUCUAUUUUGGAGUGUCUGUAAGAGCAGCUUAGCAUCUACUUGAACUAAUGCACCUACAUGCCACUGAUGCACCAGUGGCAUGCUGGUGCACACUGCAUGCACCAGUGUUGAGCUUUGUGUAGGCUAAUCCCUGUGCCAGGGAUGCCAUCCCUUCUGGUACCUCCACCUCUACCUGCUUGGACAACGGGCACCAUUAAGUCAAGAUUGGUGGCUCAAGACUGUAGUCCUAGCUACUCAGGAGGUCGAGGCAGGAGGAUUGCUUGAGGCCAAGAGUCUGAGACCAGCCUGGACAAUAUAGUGAGACCUUGUCUUUAAAAUAACAACAAUAAUAUUUUUUGAAAAAAGAUUCUACUUUGGCAUUCCCUCUUCCAAGAAUAGUCCUUCUGCUGUACCUCCACUACACUACAUUUUAUUGUGCUUUCUUGGCUAUUUCUGCAUCCCAGACCAUAAGCUUCUUGGGGGCCAUAUCUUAUUUCUGCUUGUGGGGUCAGUGCCUUCCUCUCCUAGGGACUCAAUAUGUGUUGGUUGAAUGGUUCUGAGCAGUGGGUGCAGACAGCAUGUCACAGGGUUGCUGGAAGAAUUAAAUGAGUGCAGUGUUAUUUGUCAUGUGGUCUGGGUUAUGCUGUGUGACAGUCAGAAAUUCUCAGUGGCUUAAAAGCACAAGAUUGUUUUUCCUCACUCACACUAUCUAUCCGGGGAGGGGGGUCUGCUCAUUAUAGUGACUCGGGGAUUGCAGAUGACGCAGGCUCCUCCAAUCUUCAUGCGAGGCUUCCCUGGCAGGGGAAGAGAAUAUGGAGAACUGCACGCUGGCUCUUCGUGCUUCCACCUGAAAGCAGCACAUGUUCUUUCUCUCAUAUUUCAUUGUCAAAGCAAGUCCUGCAGCCACACCUCAAGAGGGGUGAGGAUAUGUAAUCCUAUUGCCUAGAAGAGGAGAACUGGAGCUAUUGGUGGGGCCCUUUAGUUCCACACAAGCAAGCCAGAGCCCACCCCCAUUUGUUUGCAGAGGAAACUGAAAAGUCAUCCACCACAAAUUGGAAUGCAGAUGCUGCAGUUUGCCGCGUCGAGUGUGCUGUUUAGUCAUGUAAAUUGGGAGCGUCUCUAUCCCGGCUGUGCCCUUGAAGCAUUAGGGAAAUGCUUUUCUCUAAAUGCACAUUUAGACUGAACUGUGGCUGUCCCAACAUGGUGUCACUUUGAUGUUGAACAACCAGACUCUGGAGAUGUAUUUUACAGUUAUUAUGAUUGCCUUGCCUAGUCCCAGAGGCAGUCCUCAUUCAUUCAUUCAUUCGUUCAAUCAUCCAUUUAUUCAUUCAACAAGUCAGUACUGAGCACGUUGUGUGGCCCAGAGUGAACCAGGCUGACACAGACUCUGCAGGAAGCAAUGAGUAUUCCUGCUGCAGGCAUCGCUUGGGUCUAGAGCCAUGAGUAGGGAGGGGGGUGCAGGAGAGGACAGCCUGAGGCUGUGAGCCAGGGAGGUGAAGAGACCUGGAGAUCUGGAGAGGCAGGAAGUUGUGGAAUCAGGCCUUGGCUUCAUGGAAUCUGGCAGGGGCCACAAGGAGGGUGGGAUUUGUGGGUUUGUGAGCCUCAAGAGCAACUGCUGCUGGCAGGCAGGUCACACACUCUCAGGACCCUGCUGAUUGUCUCCCAAACCUUCAGUAGCACAUGCUCUGGGCUUCCAGCUGCACACUGGUGCAGGGAGAGGGGGUGAAAUAAAAAAGGUGGUUACCAGGCAGAGAGAGGCGAGCUGGAGCAGUAAACAUUAGAGAGAAGGAUGCAGGCACGAGGGACAGUGGAUGCCUUGAGGAAUCGCCAUCCACAGAACACCCAGAAGUGCUCCACAAAAUGAAACAACCAUUCUUUUUCAAUACAUGGCUGGGUUUGUAAAAUGAAUGAAUGAAUACAAGGAAAACCUUCAGGGUGUCAAACAUAAAGAGGGUGCUGGAAGCCUGAGUGUAGGGGACUCUGAAGCUGUUGGGAGGCCUCAGGUGGUUUGCAGAUCAUGCUUCUCCAAGAACCAGAUCCAGGUUUCCCAACAGCAGCAUGAUGGGCACUUUGGGCCUGAUUAUUCUUUGUUGUGAGGGGCUGUCCCAUGCAUUGUAGGAUGUCUAGCAGCACCCCUGGCCUCACCCACCAGAUGCCCGUAGCACUUUCCUCCUCUAGUGUGACAAUCAGAAAUGUUGCCAGACUUUGCCAAAUGUCUCCUGGGGGACAAAAUCGUCCAGGUGGAGAACCACAGGCCUAGAGGCUUGGUUGUAAAGGGCCCCACAAGGAAGAAGGGCUGUGGGCCCAGGGCAGUGGGCAGUUGUAAUUGAGAGCUCCACAAAAAAACUAAGACUUUCAAAAGUCUACACUUUUUGUGGAAGGAUAGAGAAAAACAUCCAUUCGGUGGCAAAGAGAAAUGAUAAGAACAUUUGUCUAUUUUGGCAUGUGCUCUUUGUAGGAAAAAAUAAAAGCCUUCUUUAAAUUUUGUAAUCACAAGCCUGACCACACAGGGGUAUAGGUAAAUGUUUGCGUUAUGUGUGUUCCAGGAAAUGCCAGGUGGUGGAACUAACUCCAAGUGUGUUAGUAGCACCUAGCCACCUGGCUGGCAGAAGCAAAAGCAAAUUCUCUUGGGAGGGACACACCUUCAACUUUUGCUGUACAAGAUUCCCAUGGAUAGAGACCAGCUAAGCUCAAGUUUACAAUACAGAAUUACAAAGCAUACAGGGAAACAACUGAUCACAAGGAAGUCAGUAAAAACCACAAAUGGCAGAAGUAGACCUUCAAGACUUAAGAUAUUGGAAUAAUCAGAUCCAGAGUAUAUAUAUGUAUAUGUGUGUGUGUGUGUAUUUUAGAGACAAGGUCUCCAUCUGUCACCCAGGGUGGAGUGCAAUGAUGAUGUGAUCUUGGCUCACUGAAGCCUCUACCUUCUGGGUUCAAGUGAUCCUCUUACCUCAGCUUCCUGAGCAGCUAGGAUGACAGGCUCACAUCACUGUGCUUGGCUGGGUUUUUUUUUUCUUUUUUUGUAGAGACAAGGUCUCACUAUGUCUCAUUAUGUUGGUGGUCUCAAACUCAUGACCUCAAGUGAUCCUCCCACCUCAGCCUCCC